UACAGAGGUCUCAAGCGUUGUUCGGAUUCAUUGGGCGUAAAGGGUGUGUAGGUGGCGCCGUAAGUCGGGUGUGAAAUUUCGGAGCUUAACUCCGAAACUGCAUUCGAUACUGCGGUGCUUGAGGACUGGAGAGGAGACUGGAAUUCAUGGUGUAGCAGUGAAAUGCGUAGAUAUCUGGAGGAACACCGGUGGCGAAGGCGGCGUCCUGGACCAAUACUGACACUGAGUGAGCGAAAGCCAGGGGAGCAAACGGGG
rnacentral:rRNA from 1 species